UACGGAAGGGGCAAGCGUUGUUCGGAAUUAUUGGGCGUAAAGGGCUCGUAGGCGGUUUGUCGCGUCGGGAGUGAAAACACCGGGCUUAACUCGGUGCUUGCUUUCGAUACGGGCAGACUAGAGGUAUGCAGGGGAGAACGGAAUUCCUGGUGUAGCGGUGAAAUGCGCAGAUAUCAGGAGGAACACCGGUGGCGAAGGCGGUUCUCUGGGCAUUACCUGACGCUGAGGAGCGAAAGUGUGGGGAGCGAACAGG
rnacentral:rRNA from 1 species